rnacentral:rRNA from 1 species
AGAGUUUGAUCCUGGCUCAGGACGAACGCUGGCGGCGUGCUUCAUACAUGCAAGUCAAGGAGAACGUUUUCUUCGGAAAACUAUUAAACUGGCGAACGGGUGAGUAACGCGUAGGCAACCUGCCCUAGAGAUUGGGAUAACUUCGGGAAACCGGAGCUAAUACCGAAUAAUGCAGCGGAUCCUUCGGGAUACAGUUGUUAAAGCGGGCUUCGGCUCGCACUUUAGGAUGGGCCUGCGUCCGAUUAGCUUGUUGGUAAGGUAANGGCUUACCAAGGCAAUGAUCGGUAGCUGGUCUGAGAGGAUGAUCAGCCACACUGGGAUUGAGAUACGGCCCAGACUCCUACGGGAGGCAGCAGUAGGGAAUUUUGCGCAAUGGGGGAAACCCUGACGCAGCAACGCCGCGUGACCGAUGAAGCUUCUAGGAGCGUAAAGGUCUGUCGUAAGGGAAGAAAAGUUUGGAUGUAAAUAAUGUUCGAACCUGACGGUACCUUACAAGAAAGCACCGGCUAACUUCGUGCCAGCAGCCGCGGUAAUACGAGGGGUGCAAGCGUUGUCCGGAAUCACUGGGCGUAAAGGGUCCGUAGGCGUCUCAAAAAGUCAUUUGUUAAAUACACCGGCUUAACCGGUGAACUGCAUUUGAAACUAUUGAGAUAGAGUAUAGGAGAGGAAAGCGGAAUUCCUGGUGUAGCGGUGACAUGCGUAGAUAUCAGGAGGAACACCAAUGGCGAAGGCAGCUUUCUGGCCUAUUACUGACGCUGAGGGACGAAAGCGUGGGGAGCGAACAGGAUUAGAUACCCUGGUAGUCCACGCCGUAAACGAUGAGUACUUGGUGUCGGGGGAUUCGACCCCUUCGGUACCGGAGCUAACGCAUUAAGUACUCCGCCUGGGAACUACGACCGCAAGGUUGAAACUCAAAGGAAUUGACGGGGACCCGCACAAGCGGUGGAACAUGUGGUUUAAUUCGAUGCAACGCGAAGAACCUUACCU